GACUUAUUUGGUGUGGUUACUAUGCAGUCGAGCGGCAGCGGAAAGUAGCUUGCUACUUUGCCGGCGAGCGGCGGACGGGUGAGUAAUGUCUGGGAAACUGCCUGAUGGAGGGGGAUAACUACUGGAAACGGUAGCUAAUACCGCAUAACGUCGCAAGACCAAAGAGGGGGACCUUCGGGCCUCUUGCCAUCAGAUGUGCCCAGAUGGGAUUAGCUAGUAGGUGGGGUAACGGCUCACCUAGGCGACGAUCCCUAGCUGGUCUGAGAGGAUGACCAGCCACACUGGAACUGAGACACGGUCCAGACUCCUACGGGAGGCAGCAGUGGGGAAUAUUGCACAAUGGGCGCAAGCCUGAUGCAGCCAUGCCGCGUGUAUGAAGAAGGCCUUCGGGUUGUAAAGUACUUUCAGCGGGGAGGAAGGCGUUGAGGUUAAUAACCUCAGCGAUUGACGUUACCCGCAGAAGAAGCACCGGCUAACUCCGUGCCAGCAGCCGCGGUAAUACGGAGGGUGCAAGCGUUAAUCGGAAUUACUGGGCGUAAAGCGCACGCAGGCGGUCUGUCAAGUCGGAUGUGAAAUCCCCGGGCUCAACCUGGGAACUGCAUUCGAAACUGGCAGGCUAGAGUCUUGUAGAGGGGGGUAGAAUUCCAGGUGUAGCGGUGAAAUGCGUAGAGAUCUGGAGGAAUACCGGUGGCGAAGGCGGCCCCCUGGACAAAGACUGACGCUCAGGUGCGAAAGCGUGGGGAGCAAACAGGAUUAGAUACCCUGGUAGUCCACGCCGUAAACGAUGUCGACUUGGAGGUUGUGCCCUUGAGGCGUGGCUUCCGGAGCUAACGCGUUAAGUCGACCGCCUGGGGAGUACGGCCGCAAGGUUAAAACUCAAAUGAAUUGACGGGGGCCCGCACAAGCGGUGGAGCAUGGGGUUUAAUUCGAUGCAACGCGAAGAACCUUACCUACUCUUGACAUCCAGAGAACUUAGCAGAGAUGCUUUGGUGCCUUCGGGACUCUGAGACAGUGCCUGCAUGGCUGUCGUCAGCUCGUGUUGGUGAAAUGGUUGGGUUAAGUCCCGCACGAGCGCACCCUUAUCCUUUGUGCCAGCGUCCGGCGGUACUCAAGAGACUGCAGUGAUAACUUGGAAGAGAAGGUGGGAAUGACGUCAGUCAUCAUGCUACAGUAGGCUACCACGUGCUACAUGCCACAGGAAUCGACUCGCGAGACAGCGGAACUCAAUAAGGUGCGCUCUUAAUUUCG
rnacentral:rRNA from 1 species